UGCCUCAAUUUUAUGGUAACAAUUUGAAAGGACGAAGAAGGGAGGAAAUAGAGAAAAGGGCACAAACUACCCAACGACAUGACAGUUGGAGCUUUUUUCUAAACUUGAAGUGAUUAUCAAUCUCUUCCUCGCCUAAAUUUGGUGGCAGAUGGAGAUACACAAAAUCUUAGAAUCCAAUCUCCAUCACAUAUAUGAUACAUCUUCACACCUCCCCUCUUCCCACCUUAUCUAUCUACACUACUUCUUUUAAAUGUACAAAGAAAAGAUAUUUUCUCUUUUUUGAUUUUCACAAAUGCCCCAAGCACUUGCAACUAAUACUAGUCCCGUCCUACACCUCUUCCGAACGGACGCAAUACAAUGCUCCAACCAAAAUGAUACAACCUGAACGACAAGCAUCCCUUCAAUCCUUCUUUGCAGUGGAUCGCCUCCAUAAAUGGGAAAAUCGAAUCCCCUUCACACUUAUUAUCUUCAGAUUUCUCACUACCAACAUUACAUCCCAAAAAAAACAGAGGCAAAUUAACACUAGGGAGAGGCAUUUGAAGUACUGGGGUUGUCAGUUUGUUGUAAAGGAAGACAACCACAAGAACUUCCAACAGGUUAUUAAUUUGUUCCUCCUGCCACUAUACAAGAACUAGAGGAUACACUAUGGAAUCAAGUUAUCGGGUGGCAACUAAUAUGCUACAAGAGAAUCUGAAAAGGUUGGCCGGAGAAGGAUCAAGAUCCAAUUGGAAAACUGGUGGAAAAUUUACGGAUAGAAAAUAUAGAAUGAGCGUAAUUCCAUAUUGACCCGAACCAACCCAUACACUCCCAUUUUUAAUAAGAUUCCAGCCAGAAGCAUACAAGUACUGUAAUGCGCUUCUCCAUGGGUAUUGUAUACAAGUACCAUGGAAGACAACAGUUUUUUAUGUGGAGAUUAUAUAGAAGGCACUUUACACUACUAUGUAGUACAUUGGCAGGAUAUCUGGUGCUCAACGUAUGUUCAAGGGUGUGCUUGGGUAGGGGAACAUCCAUUGAUGUGUAAUUGCUUGGCUGUGGAACAGUGGAGAUACAGUUGGGGCAAGAUGUGUUCCAUUUUGAGUUUAGGGAACUUUUGGACUGGACUAGAGAAAUACUUUUGCAUGUUGAUUUCUCUUGGUCUAGCGACUUUGCGGUUUGGCUUGAGCAACAUGGAAGCAUAGAAGAAUGUGCUGCACACAGAGACGAAUUUACAUAUGGGCAUAUGGGGGCCACGGCCCGCGCAUUGUUUUGGGGGUUUUUUUUUUUUAAUUUCAAUGUUAAUAUUAAUUAUUUUUUGUUUGUUAAGAACACUUAGAUAUUGAAUUUUGUAUUGGAUGCUAUUUAAAUAUUUAAAUGCUUUAAGAAUGUGUUCAUUUUGGGUUCCAAAAA